rnacentral:lncRNA from 1 species
AUUAGCUUCACUCACUCAGGCUCUCAGGAGUCUGUUCUCUGGUCAGAAAACCGACUUCCCCUGGCACUGCCACCGUCGUUGUCCUCGGCCACAGCUGCUGCUGCUGCUGGGUCUAUGGGGGUGACUUCAACUCUGAACUGAAGCUGUUGCUCAAACUGUCGCCUUGUAACUUGAGACUGAAUGCUGGUCAUAAGAAACACUUGUCAAUGGAGGAAGAAAAAUACGUUUGUCCGCUGUUGCCGUCUGAAUCACGCAUGUCCCCAGAAGCUCACGGGCUUGGUGUCCAGUAUAGCAGACAGGAGUGAAGCCCUUUAGGGGGGUAAUUGGAUCAUGAUUUGGUACCUGGCCUCAAAUUUGGUAUGCCUCGGAGGAUGACAUUGAAUUCCAAGUCUGCUGGCCUCUACCUCCCAAGGGCUAGAAUAACAGGGAACCACACAGCUUUCCCGGAGUCGGUGAGUGUCAUGACAGAUGGGCAGCAGUUCCAGUCAUCUUCAAGGUGCGUUGGAUGAAUCCAAUCAAAUGCUGGCAGAAGGGUUCUUUAGCCCAGACUCUGUCCUGUCCAUAACUAGG